AACGUAGGAGGCGAGCGUUAUCCGGAUUUACUGGGCGUAAAGCGUGUGUAGGCGGUACGGUAAGUUGGAUGUGAAAGCUCCUGGCUUAACUAGGAGAGGUCGUUCAAUACUGCCGAACUUGAGGGUAUCAGAGGAGAGUGGAAUUCCCGGUGUAGUGGUGAAAUGCGUAGAUAUCGGGAGGAACACCAGUGGCGAAAGCGGCUCUCUGGGAUACAUCUGACGCUCAGACACGAAAGCUAGGGUAGCGAACGGG
rnacentral:rRNA from 1 species